rnacentral:sRNA from 1 species
UAUCUCUCUCACAUCUUCAUUUUAAUUGCAUAAAUAUCGACUAGUUUUUACCAUAACGCGAGCAAAAUGAACGCGUUUCGAGUAUUCAAUUUGAUAGUGCAGAGCUGCCUUAAAAGUACAUUUGAAGAAAUGACUUGACUUGCUCGUCGCGUAACUCGAAAGCUUGGCGCCAAUAAAUUUCUGGAAACUUUGCGAAAGGAUGUAUUUCUUAAUUAAGUGCGAGUAAUAUUAUGUAUUGCAAAAAAAAAAAAAUUAAGAUAGUGGAAGGAAGUAAAAUGUUUCGAAGCGGAGAUUAUUGAUUCGCGAGAAGAUCGUGAAAUACUGGACCAGCAAUGUCAAGAACUUAAUAAGGACUUACUAGAAGCAGAUACUAAGUUAAAUGAAAGUGAAGCAACAACGAACGAUGAUAAAUCCGAGGCGCCAUUGGCAGCUUAUAAGUCAAAUACUGACACAACAAAUAAAAGCAACCUGGGACAAUUUGAAGCUUUCGGUAUGUGUGCAAUUAU